rnacentral:rRNA from 1 species
UACGUAGGGUGCAAGCGUUUGUCCGGAAUUAUUGGGCGUAAAGAGCUCGUAGGCGGUUUGUUGCGUCGGCUGUGAAAUCCCGAGGCUCAACCUCGGGUCUGCAGUCGAUACGAGCAAACUAGAGUGUUGCAGGGGAGACUGGAAUUCCUGGUGUAGCGGUGAAAUGCGCAGAUAUCAGGAGGAACACCCGUAGCGAAGGCGGCACUCUGGGCCGAUACUGACACUGAGGAGCGAAAGCGUGGGGAGCGAACAGG